AAGAACAGCACAAUAUUUCCUAUGCACAGGAUCCCCCAAGGUUUUGCUGAGAUGCUCUGGCUAAUCCAGCUGCAGUUACAUAAGAGCAGAGGGAGAGGCUGCUUCUCGAGCACAGGCCAAGCAGAACAAGGCUUCCUGCCCUCGCUGCACGCAGCCAGGCGCAGAGCGGCUGUUCCAGGCUCCCCAGCUGCAGCGAGGCCGUUACCUCCCAACAGCAGUGAGCUCACUGUGGGCUCAGACAGAGGCCAGGGCUGCGGCCUGUGACAGGAGGGGAGACCAAAGGGAUCCCCGCAGCCAUCUGGAAUGGUCCCCAGGGGGAUGCCUGAGCCUCUGGGCAGUAUUAAGGGCGCUGGGACAUGGAGCUGGCUGAGCGAGGGAUAGCAUUUGUCCAGCAGCUGAUCCGUCAGCUGGCCUGAAGGCUGCAGCUCAGCUUCCAGUCUGCACCAACACCUUGGGAAUGGUGGCAAUAGGCCAGGGAGUGCUGCUGAGCAGCUGGAAGGAAGCAAGGGCAGUGAUGGACCUGGGCAAGAUGGCAAUUCUGAGAGGACAAGAGGCAUCUCUUCUGAUGUAUCAGCUUUUUGUCAAAGAGGGGUGAGGUGAAGAUUUGUGAUUACGGAAGUGGCAGCUUGAAAAGAACCAAGCAGUCUGGGACUGCAACAAUCUCGAACCAAAGACACAGAUGGCUUAGAGCAGGUGAAGCAGGCAUCUCACCUCCAUCUCCCAGACCUGGGUCUGCAGCUGAAGGCACCUCAUUUCCAGACCCUCUGCUGUGGAUGAGUCAGGAGCAUCUGAAAGGGAAGACUUGGUUUUUCUAUGCGCAGCCUUAAAGAAGAGCUACAGGCUGAUUUUUUGCAGUAUGGAUGACAUGAGCUCCAUGGCAGCGGGAGCUGCACCUGAAAGCACAAACACAGCACGUUACCUCCCUAAAAGGGCGACGGGUGUUGGAGGUAGGUCUGCACCAUCGGGGACCCCGUCCAAGAACUCCGGUCCUGCCACAGCAGGCAGGACAAGGGGACCCCUGGUGGGUACUGGGCACAAAUCCCUUGGUGGGUAGGGGGUGGCUGCAUCACUGACAGCAUGCUGUGUGUGAGAGGGAGACCACGCAAAUCAGCCCUGGCCUGGGGUAUUGAGUCCCCAAGCCUGUCCCUGAUGGCCCAGAACCCCCUAAUCGUUGAGGGACUUCACCCUGUGUAUUCUUUUCCAGUGUUGUCCCCCUUGAGCAGGAGGGGAGACUGCCUCGCUCUGGGUUCUUUGACCUGAGAAGAGGCACAAAGAGCAUGGAAGAAAGAAAACAGGUCGGCAUUUUGCGUAUGACUUCUCCAAAAGGAGGCACAGAAACAUGACGGCUACGCUAAGGGAGCAGGAGGGGAGGAGAAAGCAGAACAGCCCAAGGCUGUUCACUCCCAUAAGCACACUCAAAAUAAGAAGUGUGUGAGGGCACUCGUUAUGGCACAGGACCCAAGGGAACACACGAUCUCAGCAGCCACAAAGAGCGAUCGCAAAACGGGGCGAGCAGGAGGAGACCAUGCCGCUGAUACCGAGCAUCCUGAGCUGUGGGGCUGAAACCGGUGGCGCCGAGCUGGGCUAACAAAAAGCUCAGUCUGGGAGGAACAGAAGCAGCAACCUUCACUGACAGUGGAAAGACGGCUUUUGCUCUAAGGUCUCGUAGGAAGGAUGUGACCUAAAAUGGAACUGUAAAACUCGAAGAGGCUCUAAUGUGCAAUAGGGGUUGCUGAGGAUGUGGAAACCCUUUGUAACUUAUCUGAUUUUGGACACGUAGGAGAAAGAGCCACGAUCACUGCAAAACACGUACGACGGUAAGAAAAGCCUUGCCAGAAGACGCAAACAACAGAGCUCUGCCCUUUUUCUAAAAA